GACGAACGCUGGCGGCGUGCUUAACACAUGCAAGUCGAGCGGUAAGGCCCUUUCGGGGGUACGACGAGCGGCGAACGGGUGAGUAACACGUGGGUGACCUGCCCUCAGCUCUGGGAUAAGCCUGGGAAACCGGGUCUAAUACUGGAUAUGACUCCAUGACGCAUGUUGUGGGGUGGAAAGCCUUGUGCGGCUGAGGAUGGGCCCGCGGCCUAUCAGCUUGUUGGUGGGGUGGAGGCCUACCAAGGACGACGACGGGUAGCCGGCCUGAGAGGGCGACCGGCCACACUGGGACUGAGACACGGCCCAGACUCCUACGGGAGGCAGCAGUGGGGAAGUCUUGCGCAAUGGGGCGAAAAGCCUGACGCAGCGACGCCGCGUGAGGGAUGAC
rnacentral:rRNA from 1 species